rnacentral:ncRNA from 1 species
UCUCAGGGCGGGGUGCAAGUCCCCACCGGCGGUGAUGGACAGGGGCCUGUGGCCCGUGCCACAAGCCCGCGAGCGCCUCGGCACGAGGGUCAGCAGAGCCGGUGAGAAUCCGGCGCCGACGGUAACAGUCCGGAUGAAAGAGAU